rnacentral:rRNA from 1 species
CAAGACAACUUUACGGAGUUGACGAUUGACGGAGCGAAGCGACGUCAAAGCGUUCAUUAAAGUCGAGUUGGCUUAGGGAUACGUUCGUUGGGUAGGGGAGCGUUCUGUAAGCCUGUGAAGGUGUGUCGUGAGGCAUGCUGGAGGUAUCAGAAGUGCGAAUGCUGACAUAAGUAACGAUAAAGCGGGUGAAAAGCCCGCUCGCCGGAAGACCAAGGGUUCCUGUCCAACGUUAAUCGGGGCAGGGUGAGUCGACCCCUAAGGCGAGGCCGAAAGGCGUAGUCGAUGGGAAACGGGUUAAUAUUCCCGUACUUGGUGUUACUGCGAAGGGGGGACGGAGAAGGCUAUGUUGGCCGGGCGACGGUUGUCCCGGUUUAAGCGUGUAGGUGUGUGUUCCAGGUAAAUCCGGUUCACUUUAACACUGAGGCGUGACGACGAGGCACUACGGUGCUGAAGCAACAAAUGCCCUGCUUCCAGGAAAAGCCUCUAAGCAUCAGGUAACACGAAAUCGUACCCCAAACCGACACAGGUGGUCAGGUAGAGAAUACCAAGGCGCUUGAGAGAACUCGGGUGAAGGAACUAGGCAAAAUGGUGCCGUAACUUCGGGAGAAGGCACGCUGACACGUAGGUGAAGUGAUUUACUCAUGGAGCUGAAGUCAGUCGAAGAUACCAGCUGGCUGCAACUGUUUAUUAAAAACACAGCACUGUGCAAACACGAAAGUGGACGUAUACGGUGUGACGCCUGCCCGGUGCCGGAAGGUUAAUUGAUGGGGUCAGCGUAAGCGAAGCUCCUGAUCGAAGCC